UUAUUACACUUCCGCCGAGCGGGCAUUUUGCGCCACAUGGACGUCUGUCAGCACCAGUCAGCACGAUUCUGGGACUGCCACUUCCCAAAAGGACCCAACCCCUGUGUCACACAACAACCAAGAUGGCUGGCUAGCUAGCUAGCAAGGAGCUAAUCUCUCAGAGACCAGUAAAGAGUUUUUUUUGCUUUCAGAGCCCUAUUUAACUGGCCUCCUCACUGAGAAAGAGAAGGAUGAGGUGCUGACAAAAGUCCAUGCUGGCCACUUUGGAGCCAAGAGGAUGCAGGACAAGGUCAACCAACGCUUGUACUGGAAGACAAUUACCAGAGAUGCUCAGGAC